GGAUAUGACAGGGAUCUGGAUGUGACACCUGUCACCCCAAUGACCACCAAGGUUGAUUUGGCUGAUCUGGCUGGCAAGGUGAGUGUCCACUUCUUUCCUCACCACUCCACAUGUGUCUCUCUUCAAGCUGCUGGUAGGGUCAAAGUGGAUGGACUGGUCUUUGGUUGAGCAUAUGCCCCUGUUGGAACCUCCAAACAAGCUCCCAGUUCCCCAUGGAUUAACUCUGUUCUACUCAUCAAGGAAAACUGAAUUAGACAGUGGUGACAU
rnacentral:snRNA from 1 species